AUUGAACGCUGGCGGCAUGCCUUACACAUGCAAGUCGAACGGCAGCACGGGAGCUUGCUCCUGGUGGCGAGUGGCGAACGGGUGAGUAAAGCAUCGGAACGUAUCCGGAAGUGGGGGAUAACGUAGCGAAGUUACGCUAAUACCGCAUAUUCUGUGAGCAGGAAAGCAGGGGAGUCGCAAGACCUUGCGCUGAUUGAGCGGCCGAUAUCAGAUUAGCUAGUUGGUGAGGUAAAGGCUCACCAAGGCGACGAUCUGUAGCGGGUCUGAGAGGAUGAUCCGCCACACUGGAACUGAGACACGGUCCAGACUCCUACGGGAGGCAGCAGUGGGGAAUUUUGGACAAUGGGCGCAAGCCUGAUCCAGCCAUGCCGCGUGAGUGAAGAAGGCCUCGGUUGUAAGUAC
rnacentral:rRNA from 1 species